AGUGAAUCAGUGGGAAAGUAUUUUCUAUUACAUUAGGUAUAUUCUUUUUUUUUCCUUCUCUUUUUCAAUCUCAUUCUUCUCUUUCUCUCUGUUCUCUUGGCAGACCGAUUUUCCCCCAUUUUCAGAAAUCAGAGCUUUCACUAAGCUCAUGCAAAAUCGGGUCUGAACCUAUGGUGUGCGUUUGAUCUACUGAAAAUCAAAGUCCUGGAGUCUACGGUGAAGCCAUUUUUUUAGCUUCUCAAAUCAGGUUAUAAGUCUUGAGUCCCAACAUUAGAAAGAAAUAUUAAGGCACAGUUCAUGUUUCAACUUUGCCAUUAACUCCUGUUUUUCUUGAAGUUGGAAAAUCUAAUUUGGACUAGAGCAUGAAACACUCAGGAAAAGUCUUUAAAAAAACCAGCUACUCAAGAUGAGGUAUUUGAGCAUACACAUAUGAAGAAGCUAAAGGAUGGAACAAAGACAACGUGGAUCGAGCCACAAGCCGAGACAACCUAUAAUACUUUCAAACAAUCCUUGGAGGAGUUCAUUCAAAUCCAACCAAUUGAUAAUCAAGGAAAGCCAAUCCAACCAUCCCAGGAGAAUUAUAUGGACUUGUGGAUUAAGGCGGCUAGUAGCGUACAUAAGGAAAGAGUUUACGGCCUUGGAUCAGAGUUUAGUUCUAGUCGUCGGUCUUUUGGAUCUGGUGGCUCUUCUUCCUCAAGGUCCUCGAUUAAUCAGGAUAAGUUUGAGCUAUUGAAUAGAAGAAUAGCAGAGAUCACUGAGUUGUAUGCACAGGAAAGGGCUGCGCGGGAGGAGGAGGCAAAGUGAAGGGAGGAAGAAGAUAGGCGGAGGGAGGAAGAGGAGAGGCGGAGGGAGGAAGAAAUGAGGCUAAAGGAUGCUGCAUUUACACGUGUCACUGGUGACGUUGAAAGCCUCAAGGCCCAGCUAAACCACCUCUUAGCAUCUGGUGUAUUUCCUGCGCUACGUUCUCCAUCACGCUCUAACAAGACUAAGGAGUAGUUUCUUUUAUUAAUAUAAUUUUGGAUAGGAUGUUAUGUAUCAAUUGGAUAAGAUUGAAUGCUGAAAUAGUUGAGUUAGAUGGGGGAUUUUGGUCGAACUAUCAAAGAGGUCUGCUACCAAAGAAUUAGGAGUUAUAACAUUCAUAAAAGAAAGAAAAAACCAAUAUAGGAACUUCAACUAAGAAAUAAUAAGAAUUCUUAUUUGAAUGUUAAGUUGCAUCAUUGGUUU